rnacentral:rRNA from 1 species
AUUGAACGCUGGCGGCAUGCCUUACACAUGCAAGUCGAACGGUAACGGGCCUUCGGGUGCCGAUGAGCGGCGAACGGGCGAGUAAUACAUCGGAACGUGCCCGACCGUGGGGGAUAACGAGGCGAAAGCUUUGCUAAUACCGCAUACGAUCUACGCAUGAAAGCAGGGGACCGCAAGGCCUUGCGCGGACGGAGCGGCCGAUGGCGGAUUAGGUAGUUGGUGGGAUAAAAGCUUACCAAGCCGACGAUCUGUAGCUGGUCUGAGAGGAUGAUCAGCCACACUGGAACUGAGACACGGCCCAGACUCCUACGGGAGGCAGCAGUGGGGAAUUUUGGACAAUGGGCGCAAGCCUGAUCCAGCCAUGCCGCGUGCAGGAUGAAGGCCUUCGGGUUGUAAACUGCUUUUGUACGGAACGAAAAGCCUUCUUUUAAUACAGGAGGGUCAUGACGGUACCGGAAGAAGAAGCACCGGCUAACUACGUG